GUGAUGAUGAUGAUGAUCAUCAUCAUUUAGCCUUUUGAAUCAGAUUCUCGGCAUCCUUGAUAUAUGCCGUGCCGGUUGGAAUUUCAGAGAGGACUGGAUAAAGAAUGAAUUCACAUAGGCAGUAGUAAAAAAUACAAAGGCUCAUACUAUUUGCAAGCACAAUAUUCACAAAUUGUCAUCAAUUAUGGUUUGCAUUGUGAGCUUUCCAAGGACGGGUAGCACAUACAAAUGUUGGCUAUGAUGGUAUCUAAUAGAUCCCAUGCCCGUUUGUUUGCCAAAGUUUGAUAACUGCAAUGGUCUAGACUGUCUAGUGGAAGAAUGUUCCAUGAGAAAGGGUGGGAUUUCCACGUUGGUAGGCUGAGGUUUGCUUUGCAUCUUAUUCAGGUGUCUCUCUUUCCCUCGCUUGUUCUAUAUAUCUAUAUAUAUUAUUUUUAUUCAGAAUGUGAGUGAUCUUGUUGGGUAUUUAUUUGUUUUUUUAACUGUUCAAAUACUUUUUUUUUAUAAGCAUCUCAGUAUCUCAAUGUCGUGGUCUAGCUAUGGCUCACCGGGCACCCAAAGCCCUUAUCAUCUCUUGAAAUAAAACCUAAUGCCACCCUGCGGAUUCAUGAUUCAGUGUAGUCCAUUAAAUUUAUUUUUUUUUAAAAAAAAAAAACCAACCAAGAUGGAGAGGCCCUCUGAGCGGAAAAGCAAAGCCUAAUCUUGGCCUGUUUAUAUAAAAACAAAAGCUAAUCAUGGCCUGUUUAUGCAUUGGCUUGUUUAAAAAACCAUCCAAUGUUUUUAGUGCAUUAGUUUACCUUUUGGAUUUAUAAAUUUUGGGGAAAUUAUGGU